GCAGUGGCCCGUGCCUGUAGUCCCAGCUACUCAGGAUGCUGAAGCAGGAGGAUAGAUUGAGUUCUCGGCUGUAGUGCACUAUGCUGAUAGGGUGUCUGCAUUAAGUUCUGCAUUAGUAUGGUUACCUCCCAGGAGAGGAGGACCAUUAGACUGCCUAAGGAGAUAUGAAUUGACUAAGAUCAGAAAUGGAGCACGUAAAAACCUCCAUGUUGAUCAGUAGUGGGAUUGUGCCUGUGAAUAGCCACUGCACUGCAGUCCAGGGAACAUAGUGAGACCUUGUCUCU
rnacentral:SRP_RNA from 1 species